GGGGUUAUAGCUCAGAUGGGAGAGCGCUUGCAUGGCAUGCAAGAGGUCCGCGGUUCGAUCCCGCGUAGCUCCACCA
rnacentral:tRNA from 1 species